GUUUGUGGUGCUGCUUAUGACUUCACCAAUGCUAGAGGUCAUGGUGGUUUCUUCAUUGGAAAUUUGGAACACUACUGAAUGGCACUUGGCUGUGGGGGUUGUGACUUUGGCUAUGGGGACCCAAUUUGGAAAUGAUGACCAAAUUGAUGAAGAUAGAAUUGAAGAGCCUCCAGUAUUCUGCGGAACCAUUUGAGACCUAAGAAUACAGCUAAAAGAACAUCAGGCAGCAAAGAGCUGGCAGACUACAAGAAGGAAGCAUGCAAACUUCAUUAGAUUAGUUAUUUUUGCUUGUUUUGUCUGUAAAUUUUGUGCACUUGGCAGCUAUAUAGAGUUGUCCCUAAUAUUUUCUUGUCUAUAUCUCAAAUUCAGUUAUGAAUUCAUUGAUCAGAAUAAUGGUGAACAUGUAAAUUCAAGUUAUCAAUGAAGGUCUAGUCAUUACCAUAAA